UUGAGGGGUGUGGCCGUUAGAAGGGAGCCCCCCUGGAGGGAGGGGCCGGGGGCUUCCCCUACACCCCCCACCCCCUUCAUCAGUGACCAGGCUGGGUGAAAAUAAUGGCCCCAACAGAGGCUGGAUUCGGCAGCAGCAGCAGCAAGACUGGGAGGAGGAGGAGGCGGAGACCCCCCUGCCCAGCCCGCCACCCCGCCUCCUCCGCCCAGCAGCAGCAGCACACCGGCGGCGGGGCCCGCAAGAAGCCCUCUUCGGCGGCUGCUGCUGCUGCUGCUCCAGUCCAGCAUGUAUGAGGCGCCCGCUGCUCCUGCCUGCCAAUGGCCGCCAUUCCAGCAGGGCCAGCCCCCCUCCCAAGAAGAAGAAUCCCGCCCCAAGAGGAGGAGGAGGAGCAGGAAAGGGGGUCUGGGAGAAACCGGCGGCCCCAAGAAUUCUGCCCUGUGCACAGCAUGAGCCACCUUCCCCUGGGUAGCCCUGGCUUUCAUUGGCGUUGCUGCUUGGUGACGGGAAGCACGGUGGUGGGCCACUUGCCCAAUGGAAGACUCUCCAGCAAACUGGCAGAAGAGAGGCCAAGCAGCCUGAGCAAGAACAGGAAUGUGGCAGCACCAUGAGCAGGCCCAAGGGGGAAGGCUCCCAGCAGAGGAGAGCGGGCCAGGCAGCAGAGGUCACGGGGAGAGACCUCUCAGGAUGACACACUCUGAAUGCCAGGCACAGCCACGUCCAAUGGGGAUCUUCCUGCAGACCGGACUCCGGGGUGUUGGGGGCACCUGCCCCUCACUGCUGCCUCACCCCCAAGUUGCCACUGGAAGGUGGGCCAGUCUAGGGAUGUCCCCUGCCCCCGAAGCCAUGGGACAGAUCAGACCGUGGCUCUUCCCAAGGCUGUGAGUGUUGGGAUCCUCACAUUUAGUUCUGAGUGUCAUCAGUGGCACGGUUUGUGAAGAGAAGUCCAAAGGAACUGGGGCUGUCCCCGGGACAAGGAGAAGAGCAGAGACAUAGCAGAAGCCUCCAGGCAGAGGCCAGAUAUAGGUGUGUUUGGUGCCCUGCAGACUCCGCUCUCUUGCCCCUUAAGGGUUGCCACUGGCUCCUGAAGUACCUGCACCUGAAGCAGAUGACAGUCUGAAAUACGGGCAGAAUGUUGUAUCCUGGAACAGCUCUGAAGACUCUGAAGGUCCUCCAUGAAGCUGCUGCUGUCAUGGUGGAGCUUCACCAGACGUGGAGCAUCACUCCCCGGAUAUCCCCUACAGCAGCUUGGAUCAUCGGGUGGUGGUGGGGAAACGGAGAGGGCCGAAUCAUGAGUUACAUUAACUAAGAAACAGUCCUGCAAAUUGGAAAGGCCUCCUAGCAAAAGUUAUUGCCAGUUGGUCGACUCUAACCCACCAUGCUCAAACUACUGCCUCAAAAAUGCUCCUGUCCAAAGCCAGAUGAGGGGAGAAUCCUCUCCUUGUCUACAGAGCUCUCUGCAGUGGCUCCACUGAGGAAUCCUCCCUUUGCUGUUCCCCAAAUGCAUUUCUCGGCAGGGUCUUGUAUGCUUGCAGGGACAGUCCAACAUCAGAGCAUACAUCGGCAUCCAAGAUCCUUUGUGGAUCACGUAAGGGCAGGGCUCCAUUUGCUGGGAACCGCAGCCCAAAGCGUCAGGGUAGUCAACAGUGAGAAAACGCCUCCCCUGUCCUCUCCCCAGUAUCCUCCUACGCAAACUUGCUCUGGGAUCCACAGCAGAGAGGAACAAGCCAAGAGGAGCCCAGCAAAUCUCCAUGAGAAAAGGGCCAUAGAGAAAAGAAGGCACCAUUCUCGUCUCUAUUUGAAAGAACAAGGACUUGAAAUGAAAGGCUAAAAACAAGAAGAAAAAAAGAAGAUUCCAAAGCCAGCAACACUGGAGUCACAGAUGAGGAGUGAAGAGGGAGAAGAAGCAGGAAAAGGGGAAAGUAUGACUGACAUGCAAGACAGAGAGGAGAAGAGAGAAGUUGAAAUAGUCUUUAUUUGCGGGAGUCAGACCAUAGGAAAACCAUAAUAAAAUACCAUAUAGACAACAUACAAGUGAAAUAAUGCCACACAGAGGCUGAAAGUAAAAAUAAACAUUUGCAACUUAAAUUUCAGAGAGAGAGCGGGAAGAGAGACACGUGCAGACCCAUGGUGGUGGUCAUCAGCAGCACCAUGCUUCCCGAUUAGAGCUGCCCUGAAGAGUGACCAGCUCUUUGAAAAAACCCCUUUGUUCUCUGCUACAACUGCUACUGCGAAGCAAACCAGGCUGUAAAGCUCUUCUCUUCUGGCACCACCAGAUGGUGGGGCUGCAUCGUCUGUCCAGCCUGUUGCCUCAUGGCAGGGGAGAGUGGGUGAGAUCUAGUGGAAGAACUCCAGCAGCCCAGAUGGUGUGUUGGGUGGGGUCCUUCCACCACUGCCAUCCAGGAAUCAAAGGGUCCCCACUGGAGGAUCAGCCAGUCGGCGGUGGCCUCGCACCACAAGACACAGACCUUGAGGAGGAGCAGGUGGUGGUCUCUCACCCCAAGGGUGUGGCUUUGGGCGGGAGCGUGGUGGCAGUGGACGGGCCACAGAGCUGGAGGGGAGCAGCGGGUUCUCCAAGGUCUGGCUCUGCCUUGGGGAGCCUCAGUGCUUGAAUGGUCAGCGCUGGCAACGGGUAGAGCCUCUGGCAGUUGCCAGGACGAUGGAAGUGGCUUCAGCAGAGGUUGGCCCAUUGGGGUCAGGGCCUUCUUCUGGGGAUGGGGGGUUAAAGAAGUCUGGGGAGGAACUGUCGCCCUGGCAGGUCAGAAGGACGGUCAGAAUAGAAUCUAUGGCAUUCCCAGUGGAAUCUGGAUCGUCCCUGGGAGGGCUGGUGGGCUGCCCUCCUGAGGCGGCUUCCUUCCUGAGUGCUGGCUACUCCUUGGGGCAGCCUCUUUGAUCUUUUGACAGGCCUCACCAUUUCUGCUGAUGGUCUAGCCACAGGGCUGGGCUGUCAAGGGAAAGGGUGGUUUCCUGGGUGGUUUCCUGGCUGGUACUGGUCCCAGGCACCAGGGGAGGCGGCAGCAGCUGCUUCCGGACCACCGUGUGGCUGCUGGAGGUGAUGGCCUUCCUCCCACCAGAUCUCUCUUCCUCUGCUCCUGAAAAGAAAGGGAAAAGGCCAUGUUAUUUUUAUUUAUUUUACACCUGUACAUGCUUACAAAAUUCACAUCUCAGGGAAGGUUGACAUGACCCUUUUGGACAAAAGUAAGUCCCGGAAUAUCAGAGCUGAAUAUGUUAAGUAGGUUGACAAUGAAAGGUGAGGGAGGGAGACACUCAGCUUGUGGCUGCCCAGGACUAGCAAGCCGUGGAUCUGUGGACCCCGGGGAAGACGAGCCCUCAGUGGCCCUGGCACACAUGCAGCCAGAGAGCCAGGCUCAUUCCCUCCAGUAAUCCUCCCCCACCACCUCCACCCUGAAAUGCUUUCAAGGCCACAGGGGGGAGGAGCUGUGUUCCCCAAAGGACGGGCACUUUGGCUCAAGCUCCACAAAGCCAGGAAAUUGGGACCUGAUUGACAGGCAUGCCGCGUGAUCAGGUUGCAAUGCCACCGGUUGUGCUCGCUUACCACUUGCACCCACAGCUGCAUGCACUACUGUUUGCUUCUGUUAGAGUAGUAUGUAGCCUUCCAUUCAGUGAUAUCACCACCAAGUUUAUCAAGGCCAUUUUAAAGUACUGGUUUUAAGUACUGCUUCAAAACCUUCCUGGGUGCCAAUCCAAGCCUAUGAUUGCCUUCAGGCGCACUAGAAAUAUGUCCAACCAGAGCCAGCAGGGCGUAGUGGUUAGAGCUCUGGACUAGGACCAAGAAGGCCCAAGUCUGUCUUUCCCCAUUUUUAUAAAUUGGCCCUAUAACAGCCGCACUCCGUCUCCCUGGACAAGCCAGAAGGGUGGCCCUUCCCCAGUGGGAAGAAGUCCCGCCCAGGCUCUCAAGAUUCCUCCUGGGGUUGGGCUGCAGUACUUUGGCCCGCUCCACUGCAGCCUCCAGCUUCCUUCUGUGGAGUCUCCCCUACCCAAUGUGCAAAAGGGGUUUCCCUCCAGAAGGCACACUCCCACCUAGUGCUUGGGCCACACGUUGAGCAGCCUUGAUCUUCCCCAGGAGGGCUGGUGGGCUGCCCUCCUGUGGUGGCUUGCCCUUGGAGCUGGUUUCUUCUUGGGGCUGCCUCUUCAGUCUUUUGGGAGUCCUCACCCUCACAGGGGCUGGGCCCUCAAGGGACAGGGUGGAUUCCUGGCGGGAAUGGGCCCCAGGCACCAGGGGAGGCGGCAGCAGCAGCUUCCGGACCACCGUGUGGUUACUGGAGGUGAUGGGCCUCCUUCCGCCAGAUCUCUCCUCCUUUCCUCCUGAAAAGAAAGGACAUUUUAUUUUCAUUCCUUUCUGGGUCUGUCUCUGCCUCUGCCUUGGGGAGGUCCCAGCCCUUGGAUGGGCAGGACUGGGAAUGGGUUGAACCUCUGCUGUGCUGAUGGUGGUUGCCAAGACAAUGGCAGUGACUUCAGCCAGGGUCAGCAGCCCAUCACAGUCAGGGCCUUCUUCCGGGGGUGUUUAGUUAAAGAAGUCUGGGGAGGAGCUGUCUCCCUGGCCAGGCCAGGAGGAUGGUCAGAAUGGAUGUCAUUGAGUUCCCCGUGGAAUCUGGCCCCCUCCACCACAGCCUCCAGCUUCCCUCUGUGGAGGCUUCUUUCCCUCCCCAAGGUGGGGAAGGAGUUUCCCCCUGAAGUCACACUCCCACCUGGUGCUUUGGCCACACGUUGAGCAGCCUUGAUCUUCCCCAGGAGGGCUGGUGGGCUGCCUUCCUGUGGCAGCUUCCCCUUGGUGCUGCUUUCUGCCUGGGGCUGCCCCUUGGACUUCUUGGCACGCUUCAACCUUUCCAGUGACGGUCCAGCCACAGGGGCUGGGCCCUCAAGCAAAGAGGUGGGUUCCGGUGAGGCCUGCUUGGUACUGGCCCCAGGCACGAGGGGAGGCGGCAGCAGCAGCCUCUGGACCACCGUGUGGUUGCUGGAGGUGAUGUGCCAGAUCAUCUCCCAGAUCUCUCUUCCUGCGCUCCUGAUAGGAAAAAUAAGUUGUUUUUAUUGUUCAUACCUGUAUAUGCUGCCAAAAUUCACAUCGCAAGGUGGUUUAUUUUUCCUCUUCGAAUUUGUUUGGACAGAAGCAAGUCUGGGAAUGGCAUUCAAAUGCAGGAAAGUAGACAGCGAGAUGGUUUUGUGUUGAAGUGGAUUCUUUUUAUUAAGUUCAUUAAUUUCUAGAUUAAGAACAAAUGAUAUGCAACCUUUUCUUUCAUUUGUUGUAAUUCUGGUGUAGAACUGUAUUUUCCCCCUCCCCCCACCUUGGCUAAUGCAAUAGAUUUAUGUUUUUGACUGAAGACAAAUUCUUCUAUUUGUAUUUGUGAGAAAAUAAAAAGACAGUAAAAACAUUCAA